rnacentral:rRNA from 1 species
CAGUAGCCGCGGUAAUACGUAGGUCCCGAGCGUUGUCCGGAUUUAUUGGGCGUAAAGCGAGCGCAGGCGGUUAGAUAAGUCCGAAGUUAAAGGCUGUGGCUUAACCAUAGUACGCUUUGGAAACUGUUUAACUUGAGUGCAAGAGGGGAGAGUGGAAUUCCAUGUGUAGCGGUGAAAUGCGUAGAUAUAUGGAGGAACACCGGUGGCGAAAGCGGCUCUCUGGCUUGUAACUGACGCUGAGGCUCGAAAGCGUGGGGAGCAAACAGGAUUAGAUACCCCAGUAGUCCCUGUCUCUUAUACA